AUUGAACGCUGGCGGCAGGCUUAACACAUGCAAGUCGAGCGGAGAUGAGGUGCUUGCACCUUAUCUUAGCGGCGGACGGGUGAGUAAUGCUUAGGAAUCUGCCUAUUAGUGGGGGACAACAUUCCGAAAGGAAUGCUAAUACCGCAUACGUCCUACGUGAGAAAGCAGGGGAUCUUCGGACCUUGCGCUAAUAGAUGAGCCUAAGUCGGAUUAGCUAGUUGGUGGGGUAAAGGCCUACCAAGGCGACGAUCUGUAGCGGGUCUGAGAGGAUGAUCCGCCACACUGGGACUGGGACACGGCACAGACGCCUACGGGAGGCAGCAGUGGGGAAUAUUGGACAAUGGGGGGAACCCUGAUCCAGCCAUGCCGCGUGUGUGAAGAAGGCCUUAUGGUUGUAAAGCACUUUAAGCGAGGAGGAGGCUACUGAGACUAAUACUCUUGGAUAGUGGACGCUACUCGCAGAAUAAGCACCGGCUAACUCUGUGCCAGCCGCCGCGGUAACAC
rnacentral:rRNA from 1 species